GAAGGGGGCAAGCGUUGUUCGGAAUUACUGGGCGUAAAGGGCGCGUAGGCGGCCAUUCAAGUCAGCCGUGAAAGGCCUGGGCUCAACCUGGGAAUUGCGGUUGGGACUGAGUGGCUAGAGAGCGGGAGAGGAUGGUGGAAUUCCCAGUGUAGAGGUGAAAUUCGUAGAUAUUGGGAAGAACACCGGUGGCGAAGGCGGCCAUCUGGACCGUAUCUGACGCUGAGGCGCGAAAGCGUGGGGAGCAAACAGGAUUAGAUACCCUGGUAGUCCACGCUGUAAACGAUGAGUGCUGGACGUUGGUGGGCUUGCCUGCCGGUGUCGCAGCUAACGCGUUAAGCACUCCGCCUGGGGAGUACGGCCGCAAGGUUGAA
rnacentral:rRNA from 1 species